rnacentral:tRNA from 1 species
GCGCUCGUAGCUCAGUUGGAUAGAGCGGCGGCCUCCGGAGCCGCGUCUUGCGGGGGUUCGAGUCCCUCCGAGCGCACCA